CUCCCAACCUCAGGUGAUCCACCCACCUCAGCCUCCCAAAGUGCUGGGAUUACAGGCAUGACCCACCCUGCCCAGCUCUGGAAGCCUUUCUGUAUCACUCUUGUUGCAAAUAAGAUAAUUCAUUUUGGGGAUACAUUCAAAUAAAUGACAUGAAGAUGAAAUUGUCUUUCUGUUUGUCCUAUUCUCAGAUAAGACGUGUGGCCCCUUAGUUUUCUGUGGUGGUUUUAUGUGAUUAAAUUUGUUUUUGAAAGAGUUUCUGAAUAUAUUACUUGUUCUGUUAUGCACAUUUUAUAAAUUAGCACUUUCUUCAUGACUGCAGUUGUAAACACUUUCUCAUUUGCAUUAUAUGUUCAUUUAACAGUGAGCGUGUGUUUAACUGCCAAGAUAAGUUUUUUUGUUUUUGUUUUUUCUUUUUUUUUCCAUAAAAUCCAGAUUCUGCAAAACUUGGGGAUUUUUUGGUUUUGCUUUGAGAUGGAGUCUCCCUCUGUCACUCAGGCUGGAGUCCAGGGGUGCAACCUCUGCUCACUGCAACCUCUGCCACCUCACCUGGCUGUCAUGAGGGAUUAUUAAUAGAUGCUUUUAGAUAGUCCUCUCUAGUGUCAUUGAUAAUUGGUCAUACCAUGGGUCUACAUGGAAUUUCUUUUCUUUCCUUUUUUUUUUUUUAAGGUGUGCACUUUCAUUCAACUGCUGUCAAGUCAGUGUACAGUCCACCAGGGUCUGUGGCAAAGUGGCAUCAUGAACAGGGACUUCAAGGACGUGAAUGAAGAAGGUCUGCUGGAGCAGAGGAAGUGAAGCUAACAAGAUGAACGAGGACCUAGGGACAAAUCUGCCAGCAGGGAGUAUAAGGAGAUGGACAAACCAUUUGGGUGUCCUCAAGGUGCAUGCAACCAUGGAACAGGAGACUGGAGGGAUCCAUGGCGGCCAACCAUGGGCCUGGUCCCUCCGGUAUGGGCCAUGAGCCAGCUGAGCCUGAGUGUGAAGAUGGAGAAAAGGCUGACCGGAGUCACGAGGACAUCAAACCCCAUAACCUGAGGGCAACUCAAGAAAACCACGCAGGAAGCUGAGAAAAUGCUGGAGCGUCAGGGCCAGGCAAAAACCCCUGAAUCCAUGUUCUUGGCCAUGUUAGCCAUAAUGUCCUGUGUGGUAUGUUUUCUCUCUGCAGAGGCAAAAACAUAUUGGGCAUAUGUUUCUAAUCCCCUAGUAGUAUGGCUUGUACUUUGGAGUGGCACUCCCCCUGAGAUCUAUCAUGAUCAGGGAGCAUGGGCUCCAGGACCUCUAACUCCUCCUGACAUAGAACAGUUAGACUCUCAGAACAAUGUCAUCAAUUAUAUGGCCCCACUGGAAGGACUCCCCUGGUGUAUCACUACAAAGAUAUUGCUCAACUGUAGUAGCUGUCUUACAAUUCAAGCUCAAGCAUGGUUGAGUCACCAUGGAAAAGUCAUGUGCUUAUUAGGUCUUAGUUCUAUUAAUGUAACUGGUGUGCUAACCAACCAUUCCCGGCCCAAUCACCCCAAUUGUGUUGACUAUAUGGAAUGGAUUCCCUUCAAUAGUUCCUACCCCGCUCCAUGGACCCAAUGUCUUGGCCCACUGGCUAGAAAACAAUCUAUGUUAACUGAAGACAUUGUGACUUGGGGACCUAAAGGUCAACUAGAUGGUAAAGAUAAAAUCAGACAUCAUGGCACAAACUUCACUGUCAUUGGUAGCAGACUUUCAAUGCUUCUUCUUUACACCACACCAGGAUCCAAUCCCAUUCUGCUGCCAGGGUUGCUUGGCAUGGAACAGGCUUUAUCCCGCCUCUUCUUCAGUGGCAAUAUCUAGGUAGGAAAGGUCCAAUUCAAGAAACAAUAUGGAAAGCAGCAGUCCCAUUUACAAAUGGUACUAUCUGGGUAGGGGUACUCUCUAAUACUAGUACUGCUACUCGACACAGUUUUGAUGUUACAUUUGUAAAGAGUAUCACCACUAAAUUUACGGUUUGUGUUUUUAAUCCUUAUGUCUUUAUGGCAGCUAAGAAGGACCAGCUCCAGGUAAACAAUACCCAAUUGACCUGUAAAUCUUGUCAGUUAUAUCACUGCAUUAAUCAUAGCACAUUGCAAACACAUCUCUACCUUGAUAAUUAUGGGUCGCAUCCCUGGGAUAUGGAUUCCUGUUAAUCUGUCAGAGCCUUGGGCCUCCACCCCUGCUUUGCACUUCAUGAAACUUCUAACUCAGCUUACUCAUUGUACCCGUAAAGUCUUAGGCAUGAUAAUUUUUGCUAUUAUUUCCUUGGUCACACUAAUAACUUCUGUAGUAAUGUCCUCUGUAGCUUUGCAUAGUUCUGUUCAAACAGCUCAGUACGUGGAGAACUAGACAUGUACCACCAAGAAAAUAUGGCUACUUCAGAGUAAAAUUAACACUGAGUUACAAACUGAAGUGGCAAUGUUGAAAUCCAUGGUUCCAUGGUUAGGGCAACAAGUACAAAGCUUACAAUUGCAACAGCAAUUGUGCUGUCAUUUUAAUCACACUCAUAUUUGUGUAACCAACUUAGAAUAUAACCAAAGUGAGUAUCCAUGGGACCUUGUGAAAGCCCAUUUGCAGGGAGCUUUCACAUCCAAUAUCGCCUUUGAUAUUGGUGAAUUAUGAAACAAAAUUAUUGGUUUAAAUAAGCAAACUCAAGAGUUUCAGCCUUCUUUAGAAGCCUGGACCAAAUUCCAGUGAGGUCUGGAGAGCCUCAAUCCUUGGACCUAUCUAAAGCGCCACAUUAACAUCUCAUGUAUAGUUCUGGGAAUAAUGCUGUUCUGUCUUUGUUUUCUGUUCAUAGUCUAUAAAAUUGGAUGGACUGCCAAUCAGAAAAUGAGAGCUGCCCAACCUGGCCUUACAUUCAUUCAAUUAAUGCAAAAACAGAAAGGGGGAGAUAUUGGGAGCUGAAAACCUGAGGGUCAUGACCAACUCAGCAUUCCAUUGGAGGCUAUAUGAUCAAACAGCAAACUGUUUAUCAUGAAUGCAGGAUGUGGGCAAACUCACAUCUGUGCCUGCCACCAGAAGGUAGGCUGAGGGCAAUCACUCCCUGGCACUGUGCACCUUGAGGUUAUCUACUGGAAUAUCUGGAGCCUACUGUUCAAGGAAAGCAGACAUGCAGGCCUGCACUAAAUCAUGCAACUGGCUCAUGAUCACCUGCUCCUCCCUAUUUCCUUUACUCAAUAAAUACAAAGGGCUCUAGAAGCUCAGGGCCCUUGUUCACUAGAAGCAAGGAGCCCCCUGACCCCUUCUUUUAAAACAGAUCUUUUUAUCUUUGUCUUUAUUCCUGUGUUCAUCCUCCUUUGCUCAGUCCUCUGGGGUCUGUGGCAGAAGAUAAAAAACACUAUUACAUGAGAUUUUCCACCUUUUCAUUGUCUAUCCAUUUAUUCACAUUUUCAUUUAUUCUCAGAGAAGGAACUGUUUUAAUUCCUUUUAAACGUUUUUAUUUAGUGUUCUUUGUAAAGUUUUCUGUACUUUUCUUUCUAGAUUAUAUCCUUUUUUACUUUCUUUUCAAAAUACUUUCUAAAUAAAAUACCUACCAAUUCUAAAUAA